rnacentral:rRNA from 1 species
GUGACCCUAUUGUAACGGGCCCGUGAAAAGGCCUUUACGUCUUUAUAAACCCAUCGUAUGUCUCAUAGAAUGUAAUUAUAUGUCCUCGCCUUAAAAAAGCGUUGAUAAACUUAUACAACUUUCAACAACGGAUCUCUUGGCUCUCGCAUCGAUGAAGAACGCACCGAAAUGCGAUAAGUAAUGUGAAUUGCAGAUUUUCAGUGAAUCAUCGAAUCUUUGAACGCACCUUGCGCUCCUUGGUAUUCCGAGGAGCAUGCCUGUUUGAGUGUCAUUAAAUUCUCAACCCCGAUCGAUUUGUUUCGACUUCGGGGCUUGGAUCUGGAGCGUGCUGGCGUCGGUCGGCUCCUCUUAAAUGCAUCAGCGGAAUCUAACGUUUCGGACGUCAGUGUGAUAAUCAUGUUGCGCUGUCUGUCUGAUCCGAAAGCCCGCUCACAAUGGUCUUCGGACAACUUUAUCAAAUUUGACCUCAAAAUCAGGUAGGACUACCCGCUGAACUUAAGCAUAUCAAUAAANCGGAGGAAAAAGAAAA